GCGGGAUUAGCUCAACUGGAUAGAGCGUCGGCCUCCGGAGCCGAAGGUUGUGGGUUCGAGUCCCGUAUUCCGCA
rnacentral:tRNA from 1 species